rnacentral:piRNA from 1 species
UGGACACAUACAGAAGAACAACACAUACUGA